AGAGUUUGAUCCUGGCUCAGGACGAACGCUGGCGGCGUGCCUAAUACAUGCAAGUAGAACGCUGAAGACUUUAGCUUGCUAAAGUUGGAAGAGUUGCGAACGGGUGAGUAACGCGUAGGUAACCUGCCUACUAGCGGGGGAUAACUAUUGGAAACGAUAGCUAAUACCGCAUAACAGCAUUUAACACAUGUUAGAUGCUUGAAAGAAGCAAUUGCUUCACUAGUAGAUGGACCUGCGUUGUAUUAGCUAGUUGGUGAGGUAAAGGCUCACCAAGGCGACGAUACAUAGCCGACCUGAGAGGGUGAUCGGCCACACUGGGACUGAGACACGGCCCAGACUCCUACGGGAGGCAGCAGUAGGGAAUCUUCGGCAAUGGGGGCAACCCUGACCGAGCAACGCCGCGUGAGUGAAGAAGGUUUUCGGAUCGUAAAGCUCUGUUGUAAGAGAAGAACGUGUGUGAGAGUGGAAAGUUCACACAGUGACGGUAACUUACCAGAAAGGGACGGCUAACUACGUGCCAGCAGCCGCGGUAAUACGUAGGUCCCGAGCGUUGUCCGGAUUUAUUGGGCGUAAAGCGAGCGCAGGCGGUUUAAUAAGUCUGAAGUUAAAGGCAGUGGCUUAACCAUUGUUCGCUUUGGAAACUGUUAGACUUGAGUGCAGAAGGGGAGAGUGGAAUUCCAUGUGUAGCGGUGAAAUGCGUAGAUAUAUGGAGGAACACCGGUGGCGAAAGCGGCUCUCUGGUCUGUAACUGACGCUGAGGCUCGAAAGCGUGGGGAGCAAACAGGAGUAGAUACCCUGGUAGUCCACGCCGUAAACGAUGCGUGAAAGGUGUUAGGCCCUUUCCGGGGCUUAGUGCCGCAGCUAAC
rnacentral:rRNA from 1 species